rnacentral:lncRNA from 1 species
AGAAGGAAUCUGCACAAGUACUUCACAUUCAUAUUAUAAAUUCUCUUCAUCAAACAUUUACAAGCUUACAAUAUAUGCAAUUCACUGAUUACGUGUGAAGAAUUACAUCAUAAUUUAGUAUCUGCAGUUUCAAGGCGUCCAAGUUGUACAGAAUGGAACAAGCACAAAGAGUAAAGCUUGUAAGGUCUUCUAGGUGAGCUCAAAGCAUAUGGUUACGGCAAGGUAUCUUAACCCGUCUUCAGGAACAUUUCCAACCUGGACAGUAAGAGAAAAAUUGAAAAAUACAUAUAUAAUAAAACAUUAUCUGCAUUACAUUGAUUUACAACACUCAAAAGAGUCUAUUGAGUGCACCAUUCCUGUUUUAUAAGACAUACGUCUACAACAUCAAGAGAAUUUCUAAUCAAAUUUCCUUUCAAGGCAUCAACUGAAUAUUCAAUUUAAUAGGAAAAUAAAAAAUGUCAGCAGUUUCAUGCAUUGACACGUAAAUUAAGCACAUUUAGCUCACCGCAAUUACAUCAUAUGAUUACCUAUGAUAUAAAUUUUAGUUUCCUGUAUGUGAAGAUUCCAUAGAACACCGUCCAGAAAACUGCACAUAAGACAAAAUAGGAAGUGAUUAAAGCAAGUGACAUCCACAACUUGUAUGAAUUUUUGACAUCAUAGGAUCUUGUAUUUUGGUAUAAACACACAAAGAAUGUAGUUCAAGAUAUGAAAUAGUUUCAUCCCAUGGAAAACAGCAAAAUUCAAACAUUUUUCUAGCACAAACAUGACAGUAGUAUAGAAACCAAAAUGUUUGGUGUUAUGUUGAAGUGGUUUACAACAUUCUUACUAGUCUUUUGGGCUCCCAGUCACAUGUGCCAAUGUUCUUAUCCAAUGUACUAGCACUUUCUGCAAAAAAAUAGAACAAGUUAGAUGUCACAAAGAUGGUGCUGUUUCCAGUCUUACAUGGUCAAUCAGUUGGCAAACAUAUAUGCAGAACACCUAUUUAAUCACAAAUUGAGUGGCCCGAGACAUGCAACAAAAUAGACGCGUAGUUGACAGAACACCUGUUUCUACUAGUAUUGAUUUUAGACUUCCAGUGUGUAUCUAUAGCAAGAUUCCUGUUGAGUACAAAAUACUGAACAGUAAUGCCAGGUCUAACCACUUUACACAUGGAAAGGUACAUUUAUCCUAAACAAUGCAAGCCGGUUAUAACUUAAUUAGUCUAUGAAAGAUGAUGCAGGACCAUAGAGAUAAUCGAGGAUGUGAUUCCAUUUUGCUUGUCUUAAGGAAAAAGGAGUAUUAGAUCAAGGAGAAGUAUUGGACUAUGCGUAGGAAUACAAGUGAAGGCAACACCUAUGCUAUUCAUAAAUGAUUCUACGACUGGCAGACCAAGACACUGCUUCAAGUACUGGCCCAAUAACAAAAGACUAAGCUUUAGAAUACACAGGACAUGCAAAAGCUUAGUUCCUGGACAUGCGCACACUGGACAUGUAAAAGGUUCCACUAAUUGUAUGCAUAAAAAGGCUAAGCACAUUCAGGAGAAGCAUAGUUCAUAUCUUUACUGCAGUUUCAUUUGCAUGAAGCAUAUAGGAAACAAAAUUCUAAAUAAAGUUUCAAUGUUCUGAAAUAGCAACAAGCAUGUAUCUGAAAGCAAAAUACUAAAUCCAAGACUUAUCUACCAAGAUAAACUGCCCCCCAUACCUCACCCACGCUAAUAUGCAGUGGCAUCUAUCUAUUAUAUAUUAAAAAGGAAAAUAGGGAUCAAGAAUAGAGGAUUUACUAGAAAUUCUCACAUUAAUCAGACACAUCGGACCGUUAGUUUGGUGGACCCUCCAUUAAUGAGUAAAUUACGACCAUUAGAAAGGCAGACCCACACCAAUUUUGAUGUAUGACGUCCUGGACUUGAACUCUUGAUUAGUUCAGUAGAUAAAAAGAGAUCAUUUUUAAUUCUGCUUGCGUGACAACAAAACAGCGGCGUCCCGUGGUUAUCCAGGAAAUAAAAGAGCAGCGUCCUGUAGAAAAAAGCAGUGGCAACUACGUUUAUUCACAAAGGAAAAAAAACAUCGGCAAGGGCAUGGUC